UGGAGAGAGAGAGAACAAACAGACUGAUGGAGGUGGAGAGAGAGAACAAACAGACUGAUGGAGGUGGAGAGAGAGAACAAACAGACUGAUGGAGGUGGAGAGAGAGAACAAACAGACUGAUGGAGGUGGAGAGAGAGAACAAACAGACUGAUGGAGGUGGAGAGAGAGAACAAACAGACUGAUGGAGGUGGAGAGAGAGAACAAACAGACUGAUGGAGGUGGAGAGAGAGAACAAACAGACUGAUGGAGGUGGAGAGAGAGAACAAACAGACUGAUGGAGGUGGAGAGAGAGAACAAACAGACUGAUGGAGGUGGAGAGAGAGAACAAACAGACUGAUGGAGGUGGAGAGAGAGAACAAACUGACUGAUGGAGGUGGAGAGAGAGAACAAACAGACUGAGGGAGGUGGAGAGAGAGAACAAACAGACUGAUGGAGGUGGAGAGAGAGAACAAACAGACUGAUGGAGGUGGAGAGAGAGAACAAACAGACUGAUGGAGGUGGAGAGAGAGAACAAACAGACUGAUGGAGGUGGAGAGAGAGAACAAACAGACUGAUGGAGGUGGAGAGAGAGAACAAACAGACUGAUGGAGGUGGAGAGAGAGAACAAACAGACUGGUGGAGGUGGAGAGAGAACAAACAGACUGAUGGAGGUGGAGAGAGAGAACAGACUGAUGGAGGUGGAGAGAGAGAACAAACAGACUGAUGGAGGUGGAGAGAGAGAACAAACAGACUGAUGGAGGUGGAGAGAGAGAACAAACAGACUGAUGGAGGUGGAGAGAGAACAAACAGACUGAUGGAGGUGGAGAGAGAACAAACAGACUGAUGGAGGUGGAGAGAGAACAAACAGACUGAUGGAGGUGGAGAGAGAGAACAAACAGACUGAUGGAGGUGGAGAGAGAGAACAAACAGACUGAUGGAGGUGGAGAGAGAGAACAAACAGACUGGUGGAGGUGGAGAGA